rnacentral:rRNA from 1 species
AUGGCGUCCUUCGCCAGAGCUGCCCGUUUCAUGGUGCUCCUGCAGAUCGCGCUCUUCGCCGUCUCCGCGGUGAUCAUGAGCAGCUCCGUCUGCUACGGAGCCGGGAUCAGUCGUGAGUGCUUCCGAACUGCUCAUUUCAUCCUCUUCGUCGUCAUCUCCUCCUUCAGUUAUACUGGUGCUCUGGACCCUAGCCGCCGCCCCAUAUGCAGAGGCAGGCCGUGCGGACAGCCUGGCCUACCGUACGGCGGCCGUCCUCGGCCCUACCCUUACCGUCCGCAGCCCGGCCCUGGAGCCCCUCCGCCGUACAAUGGAGGGAUUGGACGACCAUGA